rnacentral:rRNA from 1 species
AUUGAACGCUGGCGGCAUGCUUUACACAUGCAAGUCGAACGGUAACAGGGUGCUUGCACCGCUGACGAGUGGCGAACGGGUGAGUAAUGCGUCGGAACGUGCCGAGUAGUGGGGGAUAACGCAGCGAAAGUUGUGCUAAUACCGCAUACGUACUGAGGUAGAAAGUGGGGGACCUUCGGGCCUCACGCUAUUCGAGCGGCCGACGUCUGAUUAGCUAGUAGGUGAGGUAAAGGCUCACCUAGGCGACGAUCAGUAGCGGGUCUGAGAGGAUGGUCCGCCACACUGGGACUGAGACACGGCCCACACUCCUACGGGAGGCAGCAGGGGGGAAUUUUGGACAAUGGGCGAAAGCCUGAUCCAGCCAUGCCGCGUGUCUGAAGAAGGCCUUCGGGUUGUAAAGGACUUUUGUCGGGGAGGAAAUCCCCAGCGCUAAUACCGCUGGGGGAUGACAGUACCUGAAGAAUAAGCACCGGCUAACUACGUGCCAGCAGCCGCAGUAAAAC